UACGGGGGGGGCAAGCGUUGUUCGGAAUUACUGGGCGUAAAGGGUUCGUAGGUGGCUUGCUAAGUCAGACGUGAAAUCCCUCAGCUUAACUGGGGAACUGCGUCUGAUACUGGCGAGCUUGAGUGCAGGAGAGGAACGCAGAAUUCCAGGUGUAGCGGUGAAAUGCGCAGAUAUCAGGAGGAACACCGGUGGCGAAGGCGGGUCUCUGGGCAACAACUGACGCUGAGGAGCGAAAGCGUGGGGAGCGAACAGG
rnacentral:rRNA from 1 species